UAGAGGUUGGGAUGCCUAUAACUUUGGGGGUAGAGGUUGUAAUGCAUGUGAUUUCUUACAGAGCGGGUACUUCUAGAAGACGAGUACUGAUAGGACAGAGGAAGGAGCUAAACAAAGAGGUGGUCUCAGCAAGAGUCCAGCCUCAGGCUAAUCCCAUGGGGAGCUCUGGACUAUGCACCCUGGAGUUGAUCCACCUUGAGGCAGGGCCCUUAUGCAAGGUCCCUGUGUCAAUCAAUCAUUGGCUGUGGCUGCCCCAGGGGUGGGUGCAAGCCAAACCUUACAGGGACUCAUCCCCCAGCUGUUGUGAAUUAGUUGCUAUCACUGUGUCACAGCUGUUUGAUAUGUCAACCUGAAAUCAUCAAAAGCAUAAGAUUCCAGUUUUAAAGAGCUUAUUCAAGAGAAAAGCCAGGAAUAACCAUUCUGGGAUGCACAGACUCUAGAGAAACGGAGUCAAGUUCUGAAGUUAAAAGCUAAGUUCUUGCUUAUAUAUAGGAAGACAGAGUGAUCCUCCCGCCUUCACCUCCCAAGGUACUGGGAUUAUCACAAGAUGGCACUAUAAAAUACAGUUCCUUAAUCUCACCACAAGAUGGCACUAUAAGAUAAAGAUUAAACCCUCUGAGCUAGGCCUGUGAGUAAUCUAAUCACUUUGUAGAUUAAAGAACAAGAAAUCAGAGGUAGCUUCAAAUGCUGGGCUUCACCUGAGGGUGAAGGGUGGGAGGAGGGAGAGGAUCAGGAAGAAUAACUAACGAGCACUAGGCUUAAUAUCUGGGUGAUGAAGUACUCUGUACAACAAACCCCUGUGACAUGAGGGGGGUGUUUUAAGUUCAGAGGUACACAUGCAGGUUUGUUAAAAAUAGGUAAAAAACCUAUAAAUCCUUUUUUAACCAUAUAUAACAAACCUGUAUGUGUACCCCUUGACUUAAAAUACAAGUUAAAAAAGAAAGAAAACGGUGUUAAUCUUGUAAAUACAUGGACUCCUUUCUUUUUCUUUUCUUUCUUGAGACAGAGUCUCGUCUGUUGCCCAGGCUGGAAUGCAAUGUCAUGAUCUCGGCUCACCUCAACCACCACCUCCCAGGUUCAAGGGAUUCUUUUGCCUCAGCCUCCCCAGUGGCUGGGACUACAGGCACCCACCACCACACCUGGCUAGUUUUUGUAUUUUUAGUAGAGAUGGGGUUUCGCCAUGUUGACCAGGCUGGUCUGGAACUCCUGGACUCAAGUGUUCCCCUGCCUUGGCCUCCCAAAGUGCUGGGACUACAGGUGUGAGCCACCGUGCC
rnacentral:lncRNA from 13 species